CUGGACGGCCAUAGGAGCUUGGUUCACCCGAUCCCAUCCCGAACUCGGAAGUUAAGCAAGCCUCCGUUUCUGACUGUACUGUGCUCCGCAUGGGAAAUCAGAAAAGCUGUCCACC
rnacentral:rRNA from 1 species